UAGAGGAUGUUUCGGGUGCGGCGCGGGUCUAAGUCCUUUGGAACAGGGCGUCAUAGAGGGUGAGAAUCCCGUAUGUGACCCGUGAUCAAGCCCAUGUGAAACCCCUUCGACGAGUCGAGUUGUUUGGGAAUGCAGCUCAAAAUGGGUGGUAAAUUUCAUCUAAAGCUAAAUACCGGCCAGAGACCGAUAGCGCACAAGUAGAGUGAUCGAAAGAUGAAAAGCACUUUGGAAAGAGAGUCAAAAAGUACGUGAAAUUGUUGAAAGGGAAGCGCUUGCAACCAGACCUGUCCGCAGGCGAUCAACUCCCGUUCUCGGGGGUGCACUCGUCUGUGAUCAGGCCAGCAUCGGUUCGGGCGGUCGGAUAAAGGCCUUGGGAAUGUAGCUCCUUCCGGGGAGUGUUAUAGCCCUCGGUGCAAUGCGGCCAGCCCGGACCGAGGACCGCGCCUUCGGGCUAGGAUGCUGGCGUAAUGGUUGUAAGCGACCCGUCUUGAAACACGGACCAAGGAGUCUAACAUCUAUGCGAGUGUUUGGGUGUCAAACCCAUACGCGUAAUGAAAGUGAACGGAGGUGAGAACCCUUAAGGGCGCAUCAUCGACCGAUCCAGAUGUCUUCGGAUGGAUUUGAGUAUGAGCAUAGCUGUUGGGACCCGAAAGAUGGUGAACUAUGCCUGAAUAGGGUGAAGCCAGGGGAAACCCUGGUGGAGGCUCGCAGCGGUUCUGACGUGCAAAUCGAUCGUCAAAUUUGGGUAUAGGGGCGAAAGACUAAUCGAACCAUC
rnacentral:rRNA from 1 species